GUUCGCUUUGGCAGCACAUAUACUAAAACUGGAACAAUAGAAAGGAUUACCACGGCCCCUGUGCAAGGCUGACACGCAAAUUCAAAUUUGUGAGGCGUUCCAUGUUUAU